rnacentral:ncRNA from 1 species
AUUCUAGCUAUUUAUUAGUUUUAUCAGUGAAUUAUAUGGUUUAAAUUAAAUAAUUAUUUUCCAAUUUUUAGAAUUAUAGUUUAUUAAUUUCAUAAAUUAGCAAUUGAUUUUAAAAUAGAUUAAUAUUUGUGCCAGCAUUCGCGGUUAUACAAUUUAUUUAAAUUAAUUUUUUAGGUUAUUAAUUUUAAUAAAUAACGAAAUUUAAAAUUUUAGUAUUUAGGUGGAAUUUAUACUUUAAAUUAAUUUCUUAAUAAAUCUUAAAAAGUUAAGUUAUUAAACUAGGAUUAGAUACCCUAUUAUAAUUAGUGUAAUUUUAACUUGAAUAUUAUUAGUUAUGUUCUUUAAAGCUCAAAGAAUUUGGCGGUAAAAUAUUUUUUUAGAGGAAUCUGUAAAGUAAUUGAUAAACCACGAUAGUUUAUACUUUAAUUUUAUUUGUAUACCGCUAUACUUACGAAUGUUUUGAUAAAAUAUUUUCUUUAACUUUUAUGAUAUAAAUUAGGUCAAGGUGCAGUUUUAUUAUAGUUAUUAUGGAUUACUUUUAUUUUAAAUUAAAAGGAAGAUAUUUUAAAAUAAUUAUUUGAAUAAGGAUUUAAAAGUAAAGUUAAUUAAUUAAUUAGUUUGAAUUUUAAUCUAUUUUAUGCACAUAUCGCCCGUCACUCCUAAUUUAAGUUAGGAUAAGUCGUAACAAAGUAAUUUUACCGGAAGGUGAAGUUAGAAAGAU